UACGGAGGGAGCUAGCGUUGUUCGGAAUUACUGGGCGUAAAGCGCACGUAGGCGGCUACUCAAGUCAGAGGUGAAAGCCCAGGGCUCAACCCUGGAACUGCCUUUGAAACUAGGUAGCUAGAAUCUUGGAGAGGUCAGUGGAAUUCCGAGUGUAGAGGUGAAAUUCGUAGAUAUUCGGAAGAACACCAGUGGCGAAGGCGGCUAUCUGGACGGUUUCUGACGCUAAGACGCGAAAGCGUGGGGAGCAAACAGG
rnacentral:rRNA from 1 species